rnacentral:rRNA from 1 species
UACAGAGGUCUCAAGCGUUGUUCGGAUUCAUUGGGCGUAAAGGGUGCGUAGGUGGCGCGGUAAGUCGGGUGUGAAAUUUCGGAGCUUAACUCCGAAACUGCAUUCGAUACUGCCGUGCUUGAGGACUGGAGAGGAGACUGGAAUUUACGGUGUAGCAGUGAAAUGCGUAGAUAUCGUAAGGAAGACCAGUGGCGAAGGCGGGUCUCUGGACAGUUCCUGACACUGAGGCACGGAAGGCCAGGGGAGCAAACGGG